AUCCAGCUGACGAGUCCCGAAUCGGACGAAACACGCACCCUGGAU
rfam:Schistosoma haematobium scaffold80_3, whole genome shotgun sequence.